rnacentral:rRNA from 1 species
GAUGAACGCUGGCGGCGUGCCUAAUACAUGCAAGUCGAGCGAACAGACGAGGAGCUUGCUCCUCUGACGUUAGCGGCGGACGGGUGAGUAACACGUGGAUAACCUACCUAUAAGACUGGUAUAACUUCGGGAAACCGGAGCUAAUACCGGAUAAUAUCUUGCACCGCAUGGUUCAAUAGUGAAAGACGGUUUUGCUGUCACUUAUAGAUGGAUUCGCGCCGCAUUAGCUAGUUGGUAAGGUAACGGCUUACCAAGGCAACGAUGCGUAGCCCACCGGAGAGACGGAUAGGCGACCUGAGAGCUGGGCCGCGGACCAGGCGACUGAGGGAGGCAGCAGAAGGGAAUCGUACGCAGUAGGCGAAAGCAUGGCGGAACAACGGCACGUGAGUGAUAGCAAUCUUGGGUUCGGGAAACUCUGUUAUUAGGGAAAAACAGAUGUGUAAGUAACUGUGCACGUAUUGACGGUAACUAAUAAGAAAGCAACGGCUAACUACGUG